UCUCAGGAAAAGACCCAACCCUCUCUUCUUCCAGAAGCAAGUCAUUAACUUCUGUCCCAGGAAGAAAAGAGUUGGCAUUUGGGAGAGGCUCUGGCUCUGGUUUACAGUGGGUGAGGCUGCUCCUGCCUCAUGGGUCCAGUGGGUACACCUGUUCCUCUCUACUCAUUACUUCUCUGGAUUUAAGGACCGGCUGGAACCUCCAUUCUCCUCCAGAUUGUUGACGCCUGUGUGGGAGUAAUCAGGCUCAGUUACUAUGAUCUCAUCACUCUUUUGCAGUUCCCUGACUGUUCUCUCAGCCUAUCUCCUAGUUAUUCUUCUGGCUUGAUUCCUGGUUGGACCCUGCAAACAAAGAAAUCUUUUACUUACUUGCCAGUCCACUCUUCACCAAUCUCACCCUCUGGAAAUCCUUGCGUGUCUCCCCCAUCAGCAGCUACAUGAAGAGAUUCAAGUAAGAACACAAAUCUGCUCUCAAAUUGUAUAACAGCGGCAAAUCACAUUAGUUCUUUACUAACCUGUCCUCUCCACUCUGGCAGUCCUCUGGUGAAAUGCUGCCCAGUCCCUGAAAAGACACUCUUACAACAGUAAUACUUGCCUGCCUCAAAGCUCUUGUG